rnacentral:rRNA from 1 species
GACGUAGGAUGCGAGCGUUGUCCGGAUUUAUUGGGCGUAAAGAGUUCGUAGGUGGUUUGUUAAGUCUGAUGUUAAAGACCGAGGCUCAACCUCGGAAAUGCAUUGGAUACUGGCAGACUGGAGUGUAGUAGAGGCAAGCGGAAUUCCCAGUGUAGCGGUGAAAUGCGUAGAUAUUGGGAAGAACACCAGUGGCGUAAGCGGCUUGCUGGGCUAUAACUGACACUGAGGCGCGACAGCGUGGGGAGCAAACAGG